UACGGAAGGCAGCAGUGGGGAAUAUUGCACAAUGGGCGCAAGCCUGAUGCAGCCAUGCCGCGUGUAUGAAGAAGGCCUUCGGGUUGUAAAGUACUUUCAGCGGGGAGGAAGGGAGUAAAGUUAAUACCUUUGCUCAUUGACGUUACCCGCAGAAGAAGCACCGGCUAACUCCGUGCCAGCAGCCGCGGUAAUACGGAGGGUGCAAGCGUUAAUCGGAAUUACUGGGCGUAAAGCGCACGCAGGCGGUUUUGUUAAGUCAGAUGUGAAAUCCCCGGGCUCAACCUGGGAACUGCAUCUGAUACUGGCAAGCUUGAGUCUCGUAGAGGGGGUAGAAUUCCAGGUGUAGCGGUGAAAUGCGUAGAGAUCUGGAGGAUACCGGUGGCGAAGGCGGGCCCCUGGACGAAGCUGACGCUCAGGUGCGAAAGCGUGGGGAGCAAACGAGGAUUAGGAU
rnacentral:rRNA from 1 species